GAAGGAAAAUCUGAUUUCUGAAAAAGUUUUGGGUGAUAAAGAUAUUUAUGGACUUUUGAAAUAUUGGAGUUUUGUUAGUCCUAUAAAGCUUAUUGGAGUAUACAGGGAGGAAUUGGAGAUCGUAAGACAUGAGAUGGUCACGUUAGAAGGAUGGUACUAUGGUUUUGAUCUUUCAGCCGAAGGAGUUGACUAUUAAGCUUCAUGAUGAGUGUGCUGCGAUUACUCUUGCCAAGAUAGAAGCCAGGGGGUGAAAGCUGAAGAUUUUCUGAUUAUAUAAUAUGCUAUUGGCAUGCUUCAUAAGAACGAUGGUGGACCCGUGCUUAGCUCAUUUUCAGGUGCCACAAGAGUGUUAUUUGAUGAUGAUCUUAAGUAGCUGCUGUACUUGUGCACCACGAUUGCUGUCGGGAAUAUGUACCUCCAUAAUAUUUUUCUUAUUUUCUUUUUCUGCGUUGUAUGUAUCCCUCCUUUUUUUAAAUCAUUGGGUAAUUUUUGUGAAGUUCAUGGCCAUGUAAUUAGCGGCAUAUGCUUUGAAAGAGUUGCUCUAAUCUCAUCUUGACAUGAUGUCCUCACAUUAAGUGAUGGAUGGUAGCAGUCAUUGAUCGAUAUUCUUGUGGCCCGUGCAACGCACGGAGGAUUUUGCUAGUUUUAA